AUGCUUCCUCUGUGUCUUCCCCCCUUCAUUCCUCUGGACCGCUUCGGGCUUUCCUGCCUUCCUUCCUCCGGGCCUUCCCCCAGGCCUUCCUCAGGGCCUUACCCGGGCCUUGCCCCAUUCCUUCCCCCCAGCCUUCCCUGGGUCUUCCUCUCGGCCUUCCCCAAGCCUUUCCUCGUCCUCUUCUGGGGCUUCCCAUGGGCCUUCCCCCAGGCCUUCCUCUGGGCAUUCCUCGGGCCUUCCUCCAGGCCUUCCUGCGGGCCUUCCCACCUUCCUUCUUCUGGGCCUCCCCCCAUUCCCUCCUGGCCUUCCCCAGGUCUACCCCGCUUUCUUCCCCCAGGCCUUCCCCUGGGCCUUCCCCUGGGCCUUCCCCUGGGCCUUCCCCGGGCCUUCCCUCGGGCCUCCAGCAGGACUUCUUCUGGGCCUCCCCCAAGGCCUUCCUCCGGGCCUUCCCCGGGCCUCCCUCCAGCCUUUCUCCGAGCCUUCACGUGGGCCUUCCCCGGGCCUCCCUCCAGGCCUUCCCCAGGCCUCCCUCCAGCCUUCCUCUUGGCCUUCCCCAAGCCUUCCCCAGGGCCUUCCCCCCAGCCUUCCACCGGCCCUCCCGGGCCUUCGCCUGGCCUUCCCCCAGGCCUUCCUCUGGGCCUCCACCCUGGUCUGCCUCUGGGCUCUCCCCGGGCCUUCCAGGAGGCUUUCCACUGGGCCUUUCCCGGGGCCUUCCCCUGGGCCUUCCCUCAGGCCUCCACCAGGACUUCCUCUGUGCCUCUGCCCGGGCCUUCCUUGGGGCCUUCUCCAGGACUCCCUCCAGCCUUCCUCUUGGCCUUCCCCAAGCCUUCCCCAGGGCCUUCCCCCCAGCCUUCCACCGGCCUUCCGCGGGCCUUCCACCAGGCCUUCUUCUCAGGCUUCCUCUGGGCCUUCCCUUGGGCCUUCCUCUGGGGCCUCCCCUGGGCCUUCCCCGGGCCUUCCCCGUGCCUUCCUCCAGGCCUUCCACUGGGCCUUCCCCUCGCCUUCUUCCAGGCCUCCCCACAGCCUUCCUCAGGGCCUUCUCCAGGCCUACCCCCGUGUCUUCCCCCAGCCUUCCUUCGGGCCUUUCCUCAGCUUUCCCCCAGCCUUCUCUCUGUCGUCCCCAGGACCUUCCCCAUGCCUUCUUCCGGGCCUUAUCCCGGCCUCCCCCUGGCCUUCCUCCUGGCCUUCUCCAGGCCUUCCCCCUUGGCCUCCCCCCGGGUCUUCCUCUGGCCACUGAGGGACAUUCCCCCAGAAGUCGGUCGUCAGACCCCAGCUCACUGGGGACGCAGACAAGGGAUGAAACUCCCACUCCUCAAGGAUGACCCGGGUUCUCCACCGAGGCUGACUUACCCCCAAAGCGGGCACCAGCGGGCCUCUCCCCGUCCCCUCGGCCCCCCACGCUGCGCCUCUCCAUGA
rnacentral:lncRNA from 1 species